CCUACGGGUGGCUGCAGUGGGGAAUAUUGGACAAUGGGCGAAAGCCUGAUCCAGCCAUGCCGCGUGUGUGAAGAAGGCCUUCGGGUUGUAAAGCACUUUCAGUGGGGAAGAAAGCCUUGGGGCUAAUACCCUCGAGGAAGGACAUCACCCACAGAAGAAGCACCGGCUAACUCCGUGCCAGCAGCCGCGGUAAUACGGAGGGUGCGAGCGUUAAUCGGAAUUACUGGGCGUAAAGCGCGCGUAGGCGGUCUGAUAAGCCGGUUGUGAAAGCCCCGGGCUCAACCUGGGAACGGCAUCCGGAACUGUCAGGCUAGAGUGCAGGAGAGGAAGGUAGAAUUCCCGGUGUAGCGGUGACAUGCGUAGAGAUCGGGAGGAAUACCAGUGGCGAAGGCGGCCUUCUGGACUGACACUGACGCUGAGGUGCGAAAGCGUGGGUAGCAAACAGGAUUAGAUACCCGAGUAGUC
rnacentral:rRNA from 1 species